rnacentral:lncRNA from 1 species
UUGAUUAAUAAUAAAAAAGAAUAGUGGAAAUGAAAGAGCACAGUAACCUUGCAUGCAAGCAAUAUGUAACUCAAUGUUGGAAAACCUUAACGACAAAGAGAGCUUCCAACUUCCACAGGGUAAGUUCUAAAGUCAAGAUAGCAAUGAAUGCAUCCUUCUCCUUCUUCUUCUUUUUCUUCUUCUUCUUCUCUCAACUCUCAUAUUUCACUCA